rnacentral:rRNA from 1 species
GCUCAGGACGAACGCUGGCGGCGUGCCUAAUACAUGCAAGUAGAACGCUGAGGACUGGUGCUUGCACUGGUCUAAGGAGUUGCGAACGGGUGAGUAACGCGUAGGUAACCUACCUCAUAGCGGGGGAUAACUAUUGGAAACGAUAGCUAAUACCGCAUGACAAUAGGGUACACAUGUACCCUAUUUAAAAGGGGCAAAUGCUUCACUAUGAGAUGGACCUGCGUUGUAUUAGCUAGUUGGUAAGGUAACGGCUUACCAAGGCGACGAUACAUAGCCGACCUGAGAGGGUGAUCGGCCACACUGGGACUGAGACACGGCCCAGACUCCUACGGGAGGCAGCAGUAGGGAAUCUUCGGCAAUGGGGGGAACCCUGACCGAGCAACGCCGCGUGAGUGAAGAAGGUUUUCGGAUCGUAAAGCUCUGUUGUUAGAGAAGAACGGUAAUGGGAGUGGAAAAUCCAU